rnacentral:rRNA from 1 species
GACGAACGCUGGCGGCGUGCUUAACACAUGCAAGUCGAACGAUGAAGCGGGUGCUUGCACUCGUGGAUUAGUGGCGAACGGGCGAGUAACACGUGAGUAACCAGUCCUUUUCUUUGGGAUAACGGCUGGAAACGGCUGCUAAUACUGGAUAUUCAGGCUGCAUCGCAUGGUGUGGUUUGGAAAGGUUUUUUCUGGGAUUGGGUGGGCUCGCGGCCUAUCAGCUUGUUGGUGGGGUGAUGGCUUACCAAGGCUUUGACGGGUAGCCGGCCUGAGAGGGUGGUCGGUCGCACUGGGACUGAGAUACGGCCCAGACUCCUACGGGAGGCAGCAGUGGGGAAUAUUGCACAAUGGACGAAAGUUUGAUGCAGCGACGCCGCGUGGAGGGUGUAGGCCUUCGGGUUGUGAACUCCUUUUUCUCGCGAAAAAGGCACAGUUUUGGCUGUGUUGAUGGUAGUGGGGGAAGAAGCGCCGGCUAACUACGUG